rnacentral:rRNA from 1 species
GAUGAACGCUGGCGGCGUGCUUAACACAUGCAAGUCGAACGAAGCACCUUAAUUGAUUUCUUCGGAAUGAAGUUAUUGUGACUGAGUGGCGGACGGGUGAGUAACGCGUGGGUAACCUGCCUCACACAGGGGGAUAACAGUUGGAAACGGCUGCUAAUACCGCAUAAGCGCACAGUACCGCAUGGUACGGUGUGAAAAACUCCGGUGGUGUGAGAUGGACCCGCGUCUGAUUAGCUAGUUGGCAGGGCAACGGCCUACCAAGGCGACGAUCAGUAGCCGACCUGAGAGGGUGACCGGCCACAUUGGGACUGAGACACGGCCCAAACUCCUACGGAGCAGCAGUGGGGAAUAUUGCACAAUGGGGGAAACCCUGAUGCAGCGACGCCGCGUGAGUGAAG